CGCCUCCUCAGCCAAACCAUAGGCGACUAUGGGACGGAAAGCCACGGGUCUGCGCCCGAUACGGGCAGACAGCCGGUUGCCUGA
rnacentral:ncRNA from 1 species